rnacentral:rRNA from 1 species
AGAGUUUGAUCCUGGCUCAGAACGAACGCUGGCGGCGUGCCUAACACAUGCAAGUCGUGCGAGAAAAGGGGGGCAACUCCUGAGUAAAGCGGCGCACGGGUGAGUAACACGUAGGUAACCUACCCCCGAGUCCAGGAUAACCUACCGAAAGGUGGGCUAAUACCGGAUAUGACCACGGAAGUUUCGGCUUCUGCGGUGAAAGGUGGCCUCUGCUUGCAAGCUACUGCUCGAGGAUGGGCCUGCGCGCCAUUAGCUAGUUGGUGAGGUAACGGCUCACCAAGGCGAUGAUGGCUAGCUGGUCUGAGAGGAUGGCCAGCCACACUGGGACUGAAACACGGCCCAGACUCCUACGGGAGGCAGCAGUGGGGGAUAUUGCGCAAUGGGCGAAAGCCUGACGCAGCGACGCCGCGUGGGUGAUGAAGGCCUUCGGGUCGUAAAGCCCUGUCGAGGGGAACGAAACGGUCUCGACCUAAUACGUCGGGGCCCUGACGGUACCCCUAAAGGAAGCACCGGCUAACUCCGUGCCAGCAGCCGCGGUAAUACGGAGGGUGCAAGCGUUGUUCGGAAUCACUGGGCGUAAAGGGCGUGUAGGCGGUCCGCUAAGUCUGAUGUGAAAGCCCGGGGCUCACCCCCGGAAGUGCAUUGGAAACUGGUGGACUCGAGUCCCGGAGAGGAGGGUGGAAUUCCUGGUGUAGCGGUGAAAUGCGUAGAUAUCAGGAGGAACACCGGUGGCGAAGGCGGCCCUCUGGACGGUGACUGACGCUAAGACGCGAAAGCGUGGGGAGCAAACAGGAUUAGAUACCCUGGUAGUCCACGCUGUAAACGAUGAGCACUAGGUGUCGUGGGUAUUGACCCCCGCGGUGCCGCAGCUAACGCAUUAAGUGCUCCGCCUGGGGACUACGGCCGCAAGGUUAAAACUCAAAGGAAUUGACGG